CUCGACCGCAAUCAAUCAGUUAUUUGUCAGCUCUUGUCAAUCUGCCCGUGAUUUAUGUCAGCUUUUGUUGCUGAUUACAAGGCGGGUGAGACUUGAAGAGAAAAAGAGAGACCGAGAGUGAGACAGAGGAAGGAAGAGACCGAGAAGGAACUAAAGGAGGGUGAUAGAGGAGCAGCCUCCUGGGAUGUGUGUGUGUGUGUGUGUGUGUGUGUGUGUGUGUGUGUGUGUGUCUGUGUAGGGGGAAGAGGUGCCCACCGUCAGGAAAAUGAAAUAGUGAGAGUUAAGUGCGCAGGUGCAUCCAGGACGCCGAGUCGGACGCACCGGCCUGGAGUGUGCGCCUUCCCUCCCCGUGUUGGAGAGACAGACACCUUGGGGUGCUUUGAUUUACCAAAGCACCCAAAUCUGCUUUGGGUAGCAGAGUUCGGGGACUGCUUGGUAUCUAAGAACAGAGGCGGAGAAGACGCCUAACACGGGAGGUUUUCUGCCUCUCUGGGAUAAUUCCCUCCCAGGCGUGUAACUUGAGGAUGUCCGGCUGCUGCCCUCGGUAGUGUCCCUACCCCCAACUCAGGAACUUCUUUCCAAAGAGCCACACCACCAAAGUAGCUCGAGUCCUGGAAGUUACUGGCGGGGUAACCCUCCUUAAUUCUGUGGCCCGGGUUCGUAACGAGGGUUGAAAAACUCCAGAGAAGAGGCCCGGCCAUGUGCAUAGACAGACAGGUCUCAGGCUCGCUCUUUCCUCUCCCCGGUCCUUCUCCACUACCCUCCGCGCGCCAACCCGACAGUUCUGGAAGCCAGGCCUGGAAUUACCCGGAGUGGCUCGACCAAAUAUAGUGGAUCGUCCAGACAGGACUGACCUGAGCCGGGAGAGCGAGAGGGAGGGGCGGCUGCCUGUGGGAACCGGUUCUUCCAGGGAAGCGCAGCGGGACUGCUGCGUUCCCCUCUAUUUGUGCCGUCGCUCCGGUUGUUUGGAAAGAAGAGGGAGGCGCUGUGCGUGCCGCCCUGUACCUGGACCUAGGUGCACAGCGUGUGUGCACUCCAGCGCCGCUGGGCGAAUACUCUGAACUUCCGUGAGGUCCGGAGCCAGUUCGAGGGUCACCUCCAGAAACUCGCUGAAGUAGAAGGGGGUGAGCGGAGGACACACCCCCUCCCUCGGACUUGAAAGACUUUGAAUUUCCCCUCCUCCCACCCCACUUUUCCGAAGAGCUCUUCUUUUGUUGUCAAGUCCUUUUGAUGAAUGGUGGGGCUAGGAGCGCUGGGAGCCGGGAGCGGAUCUGCGCCCUGUACAGGGGCGGGGGCCGAGCUUGGAGACCGGUUCCCGACUAUCGCUCUCUCUGAUCUGAACCGGGUACUUGAAGGGGUCUGGUUGGGGACUCCCUUCCCUUUGGCUUGGUAGCCCAUUCCUCUCCCACCACCCCAGUCUCUUUUUCCCUUCUGUCUUUUUUUUUUUUUUUUUUUUGUCUCUCACUCCAUGAGGGUAAUGAGAACUUUCUGGAAUGGGGAUGAGUUUCAGAAUUUUCUUGUAGGUAUUCUUCCACUCCGUUUUGAUUUUAUUCCUUGAUUCCUUAGGUUGGCAAAGUUAAUGAGCUGGUAACUCGAUUAAUGCUAAUUUGGAGAGAAGAGGUGGUUUGUGCUUGGAGCUGGUUUUGUGUGUGUGUGUGUGUGUGUGUGUGUGUGUUAUUAACACCGACACUCAGGAAGGUUUGUGGUGCCCCUGCGACAAUUGAGGAAGGUAAGUCUGAGACCGUGGUAAGAUAUCACGCAGGAUUGUGACGGCUGCCUGAUUAAUUCCUGGAGAUAAGGAGUCCCGAGUACAGUUUACUAGGGUGGCAGCUCCAAACUCUCUGCCGGGCAAUGUGUCUGAAGCCGUUUGUAGCCUGCGGGUGUUAGUGCCCAACUGUGCCACCGAUUGCGUGGCUGUGAAGGUGUCACCUAUGGCCAACUACUGUGGUCCCAGCGUAGCAAGCUCGUCCUUGGACUGUCUGCCAUUUUGGCCUCUCUUGGCUUAGGCCUGGACAUCGAAAACUGGCGCUGUGGACUGAAGCAAGGGUAGCUGGAGUGUAGGCCGGGGGCGUCCUCAGUGUGAGCCCUUUCCUCCAAUUCCGGUAGUUUUCUCAGUGCACUGGACAGUUCAGGGGAGGCCGCCCCAGCGCUUCGAGUCGGGUGGAAAGCUGGGCCGGCUCUUGCUCCAGCAUGCUUACACGCGCUCAUGGGUAUGCGCCGUGUUCCGAGAGCUCCAGCCGUUCGCCGCCUGCGUUUACUUGGCUCAAAACUCAGCUCUGCAGGUCGGAGCGCACGGGGGCGCUUAGGGGGUCUGCGUUCCAUUGGCUUUGGGGAAACACCAUCAUCCGAUCCCUCGCACCUCUUAAGGGAGGCCAAAUCCCUGAAGGCCGCGCAAGCUAUGUAGGUGUGUGUGUGGUUAUUAAUUACUCCAGGCUAGGCCUAAUUCCUCCAACCCUCUGAGGUGGUAGGCAUGGAUGUCCUGCGGAUUUUAUUUGCACACAAAGGACAUGAUUUGCUUUCUCUGAAAAAAAAAAAAAGGUGUAGGCAUGUAGAUAUUUGAGGAGGUGGAGGAGAGAAGGCGGAAGGGAAGAGGGCUGAGGAAAAAAGUUUGAAAAUGCCUUGAACUAUUCACUGUCGAGAUGGCUAAUCAGUAUUGAGGCCGGAGGGCAGGCGGGCCGCCUUUCACCGCCGCUUCCCUUUCAUCUCUGGCUCGGCGGAGGCGCUCAAUUAAAAGCCUAUCAGUUUGUAAGUAAAUCAACGCCUAUCAGAGUUGUCACAUCAAACAAAACGAUUAUUAUUGCAGCCCGCCUCCCCUAUUAAUCUCCCUCGAAGAUAAUCCGCCUGACAGGUCAGGCCCGGCGAGCUGGAAAGUCUGGCCCAGAGCGCCCAAAGAGUCCUGGACUGGCACAUGCCCCCAGGGGUCUCGGCACCCGGGUUCUGUUCCACCCAACAAUCCCCCACCCACCCCUGAGGUGUGAGAGAAAGGGCAAGUGAGGCCGCUGGAUCCAGACCCUUCUCACCAAACUACAGUUAGGCCAGAGAUUCCCGGAGCCACUGAGGUGAUGGUCAGGUCCGAGCCUAACAGCUUUUAAAACCAGUGAGGUUUGGGGAAGGACGGGGCGUGUGGCCUCGCUUAUUCCUCGGACCUGCUUAUUCCUUGGAGGUUCGCCCAUUUGACUGCUUAUUUUAAAAUUUCCACUCUCUUCUCCUUUUCGUUUCUACUGCAUUUUCUUUCUGGCUCUCUGAACCCUUCAUCUCCGCUUUCCUUUUCUUUCUCUGUUUUGUCAGGGAAUAUUUCUUAUUGCCGUACCCUCCCAAUGUAUAAACCUCUAUACAGUAGUUAUAGUCUCUAAAGGAGGGCAUUCUCAGGGCCCGGGUUAUUUCUCACCCAGCAGGAGUGCGUGCAAGUCUCAGGAUUUCCUGCCUAAAUGUCCUCUAGUUUCUUCCCCAACCGGGGACUUUCAGAGGAUCUUCACCUUCUUAAGGCUUUUGUGCAUUUGGGGACAAGGAAGUAAUUCAGUCAGCACAGGAGAAUUAAAUGUGUGGACUGUGACAAGUCCCUGUUUUGGAAUUAGUAUUAUUUUGCCUCGGAAUUUCACAGUCCCAGCCUAGUUGACCUGGCCAAUAGUCUCUCCAGUGCUUUGCAACUAUCUCAAGACCCACAGGGCAUUGGGAUUUCAGCACUUAGUGGGGGAAGGAGUGCCUAGAAUUUCUUAAGCAACUACACCCAGGUUACUGCUUCCAGGGGCUCACACUAGAGCCUCAAGGACUGGGUGGGGUUUGGCUUCUGAACUCCAGAAGAGUGGCCUUCUUCCUGGUGUUUCUGGCUUCCCACUCUGGUAAUGGCUUAGGAUUGAGCACCACCCACCCUUCUCUGGUUUAUGCCCUUGUCCAAAAUCAUACCCAAAUGUGGCUGCCAGAGCCAGACUAAGUCAGGACUAAGGGCUGAUGGAAGUGUCUGAGGGGAAAGGGUUCUUUGGAGGGACCCCAGGGCCUGCUAGUCUAAACGACAUUGUCUUCAUCCACAAGAACCCUACAAGUACCCUGCAGUUGAACAUCUGUACUGAGCUCUCAAAGCAGCAGCUAUUCCUCUGAGAGUGAAGGCGGAGACUAUCCAGCAAAACCUACUGCAGACUGCUUGGUGCACUGGGGUACAGGACACAUAAGUGCCUCAUUUUGUCCCCACUCUCCAGUCUUAUGAAAAUAAUUUAUUUAUAAACCUAGAAAUACUAUAUAUUCACAUAUAUGCAUAUAUAUGAUGCACUGUGUCUCAGUUACCUGCUGGCCUGCUUUUGUUAUGCAUUUAUUUAGGUCACCUUCACUGUGCUACAGAUACUUAAAGAGCUAUAGACAGGGCACUCCUCAACUCCGGCUGGAGGAGAUAUUCACUGGGUGGCUAUUUAGACAUAAGUUCUGUUUUGGGCCCCAUGACACGCAAGCAAGGGAUGUAAAGAUACAAAUAUAAAAACAAAACAAAGGACUGCUUUAUAAUUUUCCCAACAUAAUUAAUUAUAUGUGCACACAUUUAGAAUUUAAGAAUAUUUUUAUCCUAUAGUUCUCAAUUUCUGAAUUGCUAUGUUAUGUGCCCUUAAAGCCAGAAGCAGUAAGCGGUGUUACUACUGAGUGCCGAGAGGUUUGCGCCAUUUUAUCCUCACAUGGAUAAAACUUACACAUGGCUAUGUAAUAAAUUCAACCUUGUCAUUUUUAGAAUCGACAGAAUUUCUCUGGUAGUCGUUGGUGCUACAUGUAACCGAUUAAGCCCAACCAGUAGGCGUCCAACUGGAAAUGGCUCCUGACUGGCAUGUACCCGUGAGCCUCGGCUUAGUCAUUGGCGCGAGAUGGCUCCCCAUGCCCGAAGGUAGAGGCUACCCCCCCCCCCCGGUUUCGUGGCCUCUCGCUGCUGGUGCUGGGCCUAGUAGCCCCCACAUCCUGGAGCUUCGGAAACCUCCAGGGCUUCUGCAGGGCAGAGUCCGCCCCCAGCGAAAACUGAAAGCAAAUUCCGCCGUGCAGAGUCCGAACUUUGCUUCACCAAAGUUUUCUUCAGGCAAUCAGCGGCGGCUUCGGGAGGACAGAGUUAGUGUGAACACACGAGGGCGGGUCCGGGUGGCCUAGGUUGGCCUGAGGCGCAGUGGAGGCACCCCUAGGUCUUUAUUUUUGUUACUCCUUGGUGCCCACCUCCCAGCUCCCGCCAGAUGAUAUCGAGUGCUUUCCAAACUGCUGCAGACGUCCAGCAUGGGUUACAAGACCAGGAGUAACAGGAGAAGCAGGUUUGUAAGAGCUGUACAAAGUCUUGCCCCAAAUCCUCCGCCUGUCCUGGGAAAAUCUGAGACCAAAUCACCUUCUGUGGGGAGGAAUGUUUAGAAGUCAUUCUGAGCAGUCCCUUGCCCAGCUCUCUGCCCUAACUUUGAAUUAGGUUUAAGUAACCUGGGUCCACCUGUGCUGCAAACUUCCAGCUCCCGCUCCCCUGUCAUUGGAUGAGGGCGAAUGCAGGGACUACUCCUGGAUCGCCUCGGCCUCCAGCAAUGAGUAAAGCUUGCUGGCGAGAAUGAGCUUGGGGUCUGAAAAAGGUGCAAACAGAGCGGUUGGACUCUGGCCGGGGCGACAGCCAGUCUCUCCGCAGGGCCUGUCCCCAGGCCGGGCCGUAGUGGAUCUUCAAGUGCACCCCACUCUUCCUGCACACUCCCCUCUCCUGGAGCCCUCAGCUACAACAAGAUGUACUGUUGAGAAUUUGUCUUCUUCCCACAAUGGCGAACUCCAACGGGCAGAGCCUGGAGCUGUUUCUUGUAAGGAAUGAAUAAAGAGAAAUAAAAAUGUGGUCAACUGCGCUGAACGAGUGGAUAAUGGCAUCUCAGGUUCACCGCACUUGGUGGGGGACACCACUAAGUGUGCUCACAGCCUGUUCUUGGUUUAGAGAGGGAAAUAAUGCAAAUCAUAUUAAGAAAUGGCUAUGUUGAGUCCUUGUAUUGUAAAUGCUAAUUAAGAGGAUGCUGGAGGAGCACUGGAGAGAUGGCUCAGUGGUUAAGAGCAAUGGCUGCUCUUCCAGAGGACCCGGGUUCAAUUCCCAGCACCCACAUGACAGCUCACAACUGUCUGCAAGUCCAGAUCUAGGAGAUCUGACACCUUCGUACCAACACACAAAAUAAAUAAGUUAAAUAAAUUAAAAAAGGAGAUGCUGGAGGAGUUAGAGAAGAGCAGCAUCUUACUUGGGCUUUAAACUGGAAGAUGUGCAGCUUGAUCAGAUGCAGAGGGAGCAUGCCUUGGCUCAUAACCCCUCUUCCCUGUGUUCAGCAUAUAUACACAUCAAGGUUCUAUGACUCUGCUGGAAGAGCUGCCCACAGCCCAGCCUGGUGGCCCCUUUUCUUUUGGUCUCUUCACAGAUUAUGGCAAUCUCUGUUUGUUUCUUUCUGUCUUCGGACUGAGUUGCCACUACAGCUGGCUCAUUCUUCUGCCUGUCCUCACACUCUCUAAUCCGCCUGUCACACCUGCCUGGUUAAUUUUCCUGAUUACAUCAUUCCCUCUCUCAGAAACCUUCAGUGACUCCCCAUUGUCCAUGCAGAACAUUAACUCUUCAGAAAGUAUGGCUUCAGAGCACGUAUAGAAAGCUUUAAGUUGUACACCGAAGCUAUGCAUGCUCAUGUCAAUCAGGAGAAUACUCAAAGAUAUAAAAAGAAAAAAAAAUGAUUCACCCCUCCAAUCCCACCGAGGUACUCACUGUGAGCUGGUUUUGAGUACUUUUUUUUUUUUUUGUCAGGUUCUGGGGAUCAUGCUCAGAGGCCUGGUGCAGUCUAAGUACUUUACCCUAGAGCUGUAGCCCCAGCCAUUACAUAAACAACAACAAAAUACAUUUAUUGUGUGUGUGUGUGUGUGUGUGUGUGUGUGUGUGUGUGUACACACACAUGCACAUGCCACAGCACCUAUAUGGAAGUGAGAGGACAGCUUUUUUAUUUUAUACUUUAUUGUUUUUAAUUAAACUAUACACCCUCCCCUGACCCCCACACUCCCAUUUGCUCAGGAGAUCUUGUCUCUUUCUCCUUCCUAGGUGAAUCCACGUAUGUCUCUCCUAGGGUCCUCUUUGUUCAGAGGACAACUUUUAGUAACAAAUUCUUUCCUUCUGCCGUGUAAGUUCUGGUGAUUGAGGCCAGGUCUCCAGACAGCAAGAGCUUUAUCCACUGAGCCAUCUCA